AAAGAACACACCUUCCAACAGAAUUUUGUUAGGUUUAUCCUUUAAGGGGAACCCAAGCUGACGGCGAGCCAAAACAGGAGUGUAAUUAAUUCCACCACACGUACCAAGAAAAGGAACAAUGGAGAACUCACCACAAGAAUCAAUAAUCUGGACACCAUCAUACACACGGUUAUACCAAAAGAUAUCAUCAUUAGUGAGAGACAUAAGUCUCAUAGACCACCGUAG
rnacentral:lncRNA from 1 species